rnacentral:piRNA from 1 species
AAAGACUAGGAGGAAAUAUGCAU